CACAGAAGGUUGAAUUGGACCUCUGCUGGUUUCGCGGCGGUGAUACUUUGUACUGAUUGAUUAUCACCGGGUGAAAACUGGUAGAGGACCUUGUAGACUAU
rnacentral:pre_miRNA from 18 species